rnacentral:rRNA from 1 species
GAUGAACGCUGGCGGCGUGCCUAAUACAUGCAAGUCGAGCGAACGGACGAGAAGCUUGCUUUUCUGGUGUUAGCGGCGGACGGGUGAGUAACACGUGGAUAACCUACCUAUAAGACUGGGAUAACUUCGGGAAACCGGAGCUAAUACCGGAUAAUAUUUUGAACCGCAUGGUUCAAAAGUGAAAGACGGUCUUGCUGUCACUUAUAGAUGGAUCCGCGCUGCAUUAGCUAGUUGGUAAGGUAACGGCUUACCAAGGCAACGAUGCAUAGCCGACCUGAGAGGGUGAUCGGCCACACUGGAGCUGAGACACGGUCCAGACUCCUACGGGAGGCAGCAGUAGGGAAUCUUCCGCAAUGGGCGAAAGCCUGACGGAGCAACGCCGCGUGAGUGAUGAAGGUCUUCGGAUCGUAAAACUCUGUUAUUAGGGAAGAACAUAUGUGUAAGUAACUGUGCACAUCUUGACGGUACCUAAUCAGAAAGCCACGGCUAACUACGUG